rnacentral:rRNA from 1 species
GACGAACGCUGGCGGCGUGCUUAACACAUGCAAGUCGAACGGAAACGCCCUACUUUUGUGGGGUUCUCGAGUGGCGAACGGGUGAGUAACACGUGAGUAACCUGCCCUUGACUUUGGGAUAACUUCAGGAAACUGGGGCUAAUACCGGAUAGGAGCUCCUGCUGCAUGGUGGGGGUUGGAAAGUUUCGGCGGUUGGGGAUGGACUCGCGGCUUAUCAGCUUGUUGGUGGGGUAGUGGCUUACCAAGGCUUUGACGGGUAGCCGGCCUGAGAGGGUGACCGGCGACAUUGGGACUGCGAUACGGCCCAGACGCCUACGGGAGGCAGCAGUGGGGAAUAUUGCACAAUGGGCGGAAGCCUGAUGCAGCAACGCCGCGUGCGGGAUGACGGCCUUUGGGUUGUAAACCGCUUUCGCCUGUGACGAAGCGUGAGUGACGGUAAUGGGUAAAGAAGCACCGGCUAACUACGUG